CAAAUCUCUUAAAGCCGUUCUCAGUUCGGAUUGUAGGCUGCAACUCGCCUACAUGAAGUCGGAAUCGCUAGUAAUCGCGGAUCAGCAUGCCGCGGUGAAUACGUUCCCGGGCCUUGUACACACCGCCCGUCACACCAUGAGAGUUUGUAACACCCAAAGCCGGUGGGGUAACCCUUUGGAGCCAGCCGUCUAAGGUGGGACAGAUGAUUGGGGUGAAGUCGUAACAAGGUACC
rnacentral:rRNA from 1 species